GUCAAGAUGGCCAAGUUGGUCUAAGGCGCCAGUUUCAGGUACUGGUUUGAAAGAGCAUAGGUUUGAAUCCCAUUUUUGACA
rnacentral:tRNA from 1 species